rnacentral:misc_RNA from 1 species
GGCACCGUGAUGACUGGCACCACCUUGAGUGGCUCUGUGGUCAUCAAUGAUACCAUUGAAAUCCCAUCUAUGAAAGUCACUAAAAAAGUCAAGUCUAUUCAGAUGUUUAAAAAGCCAGUGGAUUCCAUUAUUCAGGGAGACAGAGCAGGGAUCUGUGUGACCCAGUUUGAUCCCAAGCAUCUGGAGAGGGGUCUGGUCUGUACCCCUGGGGCUCUCCCUACAAUAUAUGGGGGAAUUAUAAGUGUAGAAAAAAUAGGAUACUACAAAGGACUGGUCAAUUCUAAAGCCAAGUUCCACAUCACCUCAGGGCAUGAAACAGUAAUGGGAAAGGUAUCAUUCUUUGGACUUUAUGAAAAAGAUUCAGCAGGGAAUAACUACGAGUUUGAUUUUGAUAAAGACUACGUGUAUCAGGAAGAGCUAUUUAGAAAAUCUAGCAGUGGAGAAGGUGAAGACCCCCACCCAGUCAAACAGUUUGCAGUUAUCGAGUAUGAACGACCAGUCACAUGUCCUGAGCGCUGCCUUGUGAUUGGCUCUAAGCUGGACACCGACAUUCAUGCCAACAUGUGUCGACUGGCGUUCCAUGGCCGUCUGUUGGUGGGGUUCCAAGACUCACAGUACCAACAGGCCGUGCUGCCCAAAGUACGAGUUUACAAAACCAAAGUUCGGGAAGGGUUAGUAGAACGCUGUAAUGAUGAGUACACUGUGAUCGGCAAAAACCUGUUCAAAAAAGAGACCAACAUCCAAAACUUUGCAGGCAUGAAGGUGGCUCUAUCGUCAGGGGAACAGGGAGUCAUUGAGGGAGGGUUUGGUCAGAGUGGGAAAGUGAAAAUCAGAAUUCCAGACGGUGUCAAGCCAGACAUCUAUCAGAGGUACAGUGGAGGAUCCAAGAAAAAAGCACCAAAAGCAGAGGACACGCCAUCAGAUCAUCAGCCAAUCAAAAUUAGUUUGACAUUUAAGCGUUAUAUGUAUGAUCCAGAGAGAAAAAUGAAGCAAACAUAGUUAAACAUGUACAUGUAUUGCAAUUUUGAUAAAAAAAAUUCUUGUCUUAAAAAAUUUUAAAAUAUAUAUAUAUAUACAUUCUUUACUGAC